ACAAAACAAAACAAAGAAGAAGUUCGAGGAACCGCGAGAGAGAAAGGGAAAAUGUGAAGAGAGAAUGUGAUUUUUGAAGGAGAUAAAGGGAAAAGAAGAUGGAAUCAAGAGUUUGAGACUUUCAUAGGCUUGGAUUCCAAGAUUUCUUCAAGAUUGAGUUUGAGCUUGGAUUGAAGUGUGGAGAUAGGAGGAGAGGUGGUUGAGCUAAGGAUUGAAGAUUUGGGGCAAGGUUAUUGAACUUGGAAGAUUGGUGGCUAGAAUUGUGGUGAGAUUUUGCUCAAACGAGGUGAUAUAGGUACUAGCACUAGUGCUCCGACUACGGAUCAGUAGGGAGGCGCGUGACGUGGAUGGCCUGGACUAGUGUUGGUGUAGUGGUUUGCUUUUAUUAUGUUUAUGUAGUGUUUAUGUUAUGGAUGAAUGAUGAUUUCGGUUGGUUAGGCCUAAGGCCUUGGUAUGUACAUGCGUAUAGGAAUUUAUGAUUUGGGAUGAUAUGGCCUGAGGCCCUGGAUGAUUAUUUUGGAGGUAUGGGAAUUGUGUGGUUUAAAUUGCUUUGUGCAGGGGGCAUUCUCCGAAAUACAGGGAGGUGCUACCGGAUUUUUGUUUAAA